rnacentral:lncRNA from 1 species
GGGCCACUCCCACAGCGUAUGGAGGUUCCCAGGCUAGGGGUCCAAUUGGAACUGUAGCUGCCAGCCUACACCAGAGACAUAGCAACUCAGGAUCCAAGCCGCGUCUACAACCUACACCACAGCUCAGAGCAACGCAGAUCCUUAACCCACUGAGCAAGGCCAGGGAUCAACCCGUAACCUCAUGGUUCCUAGCAGGCAGGCAGUCCAUUCUCUUGCUCAAUCCUGUACCUGCAGCACCUAAAAUAGAACCUGGCAUAGAGCAGGCACUCAAUAUAUGUUCCUUAUACAAAUGAAAGAAUGAAUGAAGAGGGACCCUCUCCUCGGGGAGGAGUAAGUCAGCCUGGGUGGGAGGGCUCCCUGACUAGGAGAACAUGCAGGAGUCAGAGAAGGAGGCAAGGCCUCUGAGGGAGACUGUGUCCAUGGCAACACAGGCAGCGCCACGGCUGCUCUUGGGGCAAGGCCAGAGGAGGCAGGCAAGUGAUGGAGUCUGGGGGGACCCCAGGGGAAGGCUGGCAUCCAACUCAGACUCUGGGACUCCUUCCCCUGCCACCUCAUGGCUCUGGCUUUGGCAGACCCAGCAGAUGGGCUCUCAGCAGGGACCUGCAUCUCAGCGGGCACAGGCUCUGCUCAAGCAGGACAACCGCCCAGGCUUCUGCUCUCCAGCCAACACAGGCGCCCAGAACCAUGAAAUCCUGGAUAGUAAAGCUCCAAGGAACCCCACCAGGCAGAAGGCAGCCCUGCAGCCUGGCUGUAGGUGGGGGCGCAGAAAUCAUGCCACCUAGAGCAGCAACAAGAACAGUAAAAUCAGACUAGCCAGCUGGCCUCUCACGGGUGACAUGAGCAUUGCUUAGCUUACCCCACCUUAUCCUCACAGCAAACUUCUAAGGAAGGGGCUAUUUAUCCUUAUUUUAAAAUGGGACCUGCAGGCCAGAGAGAGGAAGGGACUUGUCCAAAGUCGAAAGGUCCAGGAAGUGCUGGAAGUGGAAUUCAGGGCCCCUUCGCCUCCUGUUCCUCUUUUGUGCUCAGGACAUGAAUCCCCAUGGGGUAAUCUAAUCAGACACGGGGCUCCACCUUCACCCUCUCCUUAGGCUUCUUAUCAGAGAAACCAUUUUUUCCCCAAGCCACGUGUUCCACUUCAUGUCUUGUCCUUUGUGUGUCUUUGAUUCUGCGCCAUUUUGGAAUCAUGUUUUGGUUGCUAUUUCGGUCAUGAAUACACAUCAUUAAUUCUUCUGACAAACAUCCCCAGAGCCCCAGCUCUGUGCCAGGUGGGCAGCGAUGAAUAAUAACAACUCGAAUGUUCGCUGCGAAGUGUUUCCACCGUGCCAGGCUCUGUUCUAUGUGCUCUGCACGUAUUGACCCUUUCAGUUCUCACAACCACCCUCUGGGGUAGGAAAUACUCGUCGUUCCCAUUUUUCAGCUGAGGAGACUGAGACACAUCGGGCUGGUGAGGGGCCCCGCUGGGACAGAAAUCAAACCCAGGUGGCUCCUGAACGCUUCACUAUUGGUCUACACCACGCGAUAAGGGUGGGGAGGGGGGAGCGCAGAGAAGUGAGUAACACACUUAGCUGAGUACCCACAUCAAGGACGCGAAGGGUUUCACCGGGCAGAAAAGACAAGGACAUUCGAGACAAGGACAAAAGUCCAGAGGAAAACGCAGAGCCUUAAAGUACCGAGGAGAUGCAUACACACGAUGGUUUCUAAGCUCCUUGGAAGUAAGAAAAGUCCUGUUUACCUUUGUGUUUAUCCGCUUCGAAAUACAUGUCCGUUGAAUUGUAAACAUUUCAACAUUUCCC